rnacentral:rRNA from 1 species
GAUCCUGGCUCAGGAUGAACGCUGGCGGCGUGCUUAACACAUGCAAGUCGAACGGAGAGCUAAUGAUUGAGGAUUCGUCCAAAUGAUUUAGUUUCUUAGUGGCGGACUGGUGAGCAACGCGUGAGGAACCUGCCUUGGAGUGGGGAAUAACACAGUGAAAAUUGUGCUAAUACCGCAUAAUGCAGUUGAGUCGCAUGGCUCUGACUGCCAAAGAUUUAUCGCU